GCGUCGUUUGCGACGCCCAACACACAAAACAAGCGGUGAGUGCUUUGGGGUGGGGUGACUGCGUACCUUUUGUAUAAUGGGUCAGCGACUUAUAUUCUGUAGCAAGGUUAACCGUAUAGGGGAGCCGUAGGGAAACCGAUUCUUAACCGGGCGUCAAGUUGCAGGGUAUAGACCCGAAACCCGGUGAUCUAGCCAUGGGCAGGUUGAAGGUUGGGUAACACUAACUGGAGGACCGAACCGACUAAUGUUGAAAAA
rnacentral:rRNA from 1 species